UUGUGAGCUCGAUGAGUAGGGCGGGACACGUGGUAUCCUGUCUGAAUAUGGGGGGACCAUCCUCCAAGGCUAAAUACUCCUGACUGACCGAUAGUGAACCAGUACCGUGAGGGAAAGGCGAAAAGAACCCCGGCGAGGGGAGUGAAAAAGAACCUGAAACCGUGUACGUACAAGCAGUGGGAGCACGCUUCGGCGUGUGACUGCGUACCUUUUGUAUAAUGGGUCAGCGACUUAUAUUCUGUAGCAAGGUUAACCGAAUAGGGGAGCCGAAGGGAAACCGAGUCUUAACUGGGCGUUAAGUUGCAGGGUAUAGACCCGAAACCCGGUGAUCUAGCCAUGGGCAGGUUGAAGGUUGGGUAACACUAACUGGAGGACCGAACCGACUAAUGUUGAAAAAUUAGCGGAUGACUUGUGGCUGGGGGUGAAAGGCCAAUCAAACCGGGAGAUAGCUGGUUCUCCCCGAAAGCUAUUUAGGUAGCGCCUCGUGAAUUCAUCUCCGGGGGUAGAGCACUGUUUCGGCAAGGGGGUCAUCCCGACUUACCAACCCGAUGCAAACUGCGAAUACCGGAGAAUGUUAUCACGGGAGACACACGGCGGGUGCUAACGUCCGUCGUGAAGAGGGAAACAACCCAGACCGCCAGCUAAGGUCCCAAAGUCAUGGUUAAGUGGGAAACGAUGUGGGAAGGCCCAGACAGCCAGGAUGUUGGCUUAGAAGCAGCCAUCAUUUAAAGAAAGCGUAAUAGCUCACUGGUCGAGUCGGCCUGCGCGGAAGAUGUAACGGGGCUAAACCAUGCACCGAAGCUGCGGCAGCGACACUAUGUGUUGUUGGGUAGGGGAGCGUUCUGUAAGCCUGUGAAGGUGUACUGUGAGGUAUGCUGGAGGUAUCAGAAGUGCGAAUGCUGACAUAAGUAACGAUAAAGCGGGUGAAAAGCCCGCUCGCCGGAAGACCAAGGGUUCCUGUCCAACGUUAAUCGGGGCAGGGUGAGUCGACCCCUAAGGCGAGGCCGAAAGGCGUAGUCGAUGGGAAACAGGUUAAUAUUCCUGUACUUGGUGUUACUGCGAAGGGGGGACGGAGAAGGCUAUGUUGGCCGGGCGACGGUUGUCCCGGUUUAAGCGUGUAGGCUGGUUUUCCAGGCAAAUCCGGAAAAUCAAGGCUGAGGCGUGAUGACGAGGCACUACGGUGCUGAAGCAACAAAUGCCCUGCUUCCAGGAAAAGCCUCUAAGCAUCAGGUAACAUCAAAUCGUACCCCAAACCGACACAGGUGGUCAGGUAGAGAAUACCAAGGCGCUUGAGAGAACUCGGGUGAAGGAACUAGGCAAAAUGGUGCCGUAACUUCGGGAGAAGGCACGCUGAUAUGUAGGUGAAGCGACUUGCUCGUGGAGCUGAAAUCAGUCGAAGAUACCAGCUGGCUGCAACUGUUUAUUAAAAACACAGCACUGUGCAAACACGAAAGUGGACGUAUACGGUGUGACGCCUGCCCGGUGCCGGAAGGUUAAUUGAUGGGGUCAGCGCAAGCGAAGCUCUUGAUCGAAGCCCCGGUAAACGGCGGCCGUAACUAUAACGGUCCUAAGGUAGCGAAAUUCCUUGUCGGGUAAGUUCCGACCUGCACGAAUGGCGUAAUGAUGGCCAGGCUGUCUCCACCCGAGACUCAGUGAAAUUGAACUCGCUGUGAAGAUGCAGUGUACCCGCGGCAAGACGGAAAGACCCCGUGAACCUUUACUAUAGCUUGACACUGAACAUUGAGCCUUGAUGUGUAGGAUAGGUGGGAGGCUUAGAAGUGUGGACGCCAGUCUGCAUGGAGCCGACCUUGAAAUACCACCCUUUAAUGUUUGAUGUUCUAACGUUGACCCGUGAUCCGGGUUGCGGACAGUGUCUGGUGGGUAGUUUGACUGGGGCGGUCUCCUCCUAAAGAGUAACGGAGGAGCACGAAGGUUGGCUAAUCCUGGUCGGACAUCAGGAGGUUAGUGCAAUGGCAUAAGCCAGCUUGACUGCGAGCGUGACGGCGCGAGCAGGUGCGAAAGCAGGUCAUAGUGAUCCGGUGGUUCUGAAUGGAAGGGCCAUCGCUCAACGGAUAAAAGGUACUCCGGGGAUAACAGGCUGAUACCGCCCAAGAGUUCAUAUCGACGGCGGUGUUUGGCACCUCGAUGUCGGCUCAUCACAUCCUGGGGCUGAAGUAGGUCCCAAGGGUAUGGCUGUUCGCCAUUUAAAGUGGUACGCGAGCUGGGUUUAGAACGUCGUGAGACAGUUCGGUCCCUAUCUGCCGUGGGCGCUGGAGAACUGAGGGGGGCUGCUCCUAGUACGAGAGGACCGGAGUGGACGCAUCACUGGUGUUCGGGUUGUCAUGCCAAUGGCACUGCCCGGUAGCUAAAUGCGGAAGAGAUAAGUGCUGAAAGCAUCUAAGCACGAAACUUGCCCCGAGAUGAGUUCUCCCUGACUCCUUGAGAGUCCUGAAGGAACGUUGAAGACGACGACGUUGAUAGGCCGGGUGUGUAAGCGCAGCGAUGCGUUGAGCUAACCGGUACUAAUGAACCGUGAGGCUUAACCUU
rnacentral:rRNA from 1 species